GAUGAACGCUGGCGGCGUGCCUAAUACAUGCAAGUCGAGCGAACAGACGAGGAGCUUGCUCCUCUGACGUUAGCGGCGGACGGGUGAGUAACACGUGGAUAACCUACCUAUAAGACUGGGAUAACUUCGGGAAACCGGAGCUAAUACCGGAUAAUAUAUUGAACCGCAUGGUUCAAUAGUGAAAGACGGUUUUGCUGUCACUUAUAGAUGGAUCCGCGCCGCAUUAGCUAGUUGGUAAGGUAACGGCUUACCAAGGCAACGAUGCGUAGCCGACCUGAGAGGGUGAUCGGCCACACUGGAACUGAGACACGGUCCAGACUCCUACGGGAGGCAGCAGUAGGGAAUAUUCCGCAAUGGGCGAAAGCCUGACGGAGCAACGCCGCGUGAGUGAUGAAGGUCUUCGGAUCGUAAAACUCUGUUAUUAGGGAAGAACAAAUGUGUAAGUAACUAUGCACGUCUUGACGGUACCUAAUCAGAAAGCCACGGCUAACUACGUG
rnacentral:rRNA from 1 species